UACAGAGGGGGCAAGCGUUGUUCGGAAUUACUGGGCGUAAAGGGCGCGUAGGCGGCCUGUUAAGUCGAACGUGAAAUCCCCGGGCUCAACCCGGGAACUGCGUCCGAUACUGGCAGGCUUGAAUUCGGGAGAGGGAUGCGGAAUUCCAGGGUGUAGCGGCGAAAUGCGUAGAAUAUCUGGAGGAAUACCGGUGGCGGAAAGGGC
rnacentral:rRNA from 1 species